rnacentral:misc_RNA from 1 species
GUAUAGUGUUUUAUAGGCUGUGAAGCCCAUUGACUACAUUCUGCAUCAUACUAUUGGGGUGUGUAAAAAGACGUAGAGCCUGGAAGUUCGAGGGGAGCCCUUUACGAGCAACCCUCGCAUCCGCCUUGCGGCGAGAGGUAUCCAGACCUACAGUCGGUGCACAGGUGGAAAGAUAAAAAUGGCGGGCGUGCACAUUGCUCCGAGGAGCCAGCUACAACCUGAGACACCAUAGUUAUUCGUUAAUGAUCCUUCCGCAGGUUCACCUACGGAAA